rnacentral:rRNA from 1 species
GUGCCAGCCGCCGCGGUAAUACGUAGGUGGCAAGCGUUGUCCGGAAUUAUUGGGCGUAAAGCGCUCGCAGGCGGUCUUUUAAGUCUGAUGUGAAAGCCCACGGCUUAACCGUGGAGGGUCAUUGGAAACUGGAGGACUUGAGUACAGAAGAGGAGAGUGGAAUUCCACGUGUAGCGGUGAAAUGCGUAGAGAUGUGGAGGAACACCAGUGGCGAAGGCGACUCUCUGGUCUGUAACUGACGCUGAGGAGCGAAAGCGUGGGUAGCGAACAGGAUUAGAUACCCCCGUAGUCC